rnacentral:rRNA from 1 species
AGAGUUUGAUCCUGGCUCAGAACGAACGGUGGCGGUGUGCUUACUACAUGCAAGUCGAGCGGACUGAGGACUUCGGUUUUCAGUUAGCGGCGGACGGGUGAGUAAUAUAUAGACAACCUGCCCUCGAGAGGGGGACAACGUCUCGAAAGGGACGCUAAUACCGCAUAACAUAGACGAGUCGCCUGUCUUGUCUAUCAAAGGGGGGGCCACAAGCCCUCUCACUUGAGGAGGGGUCUAUAUCCUAUUAGCUAGUUGGUGAGGUAACGGCCCACCAAGGCUGUGAUGGGUAGCCGACCUGAGAGGGUGAUCGGCCACACGGGCACUGAGACACGGGCCCGACUCCUACGGGAGGCAGCAGUAGGGAAUUUUGGGCAAUGGGGGCAACCCUGACCCAGCGACACCGCGUGAAUGACGAAGGCCUUCGGGUUGUAAAGUUCUAACACACAUUAAGAAAGUUUCGGUUGAUAAUACCAGCCGGAAUCUGACGUAAGGGUGGGAUGAAGUCAUGGCUAACUCUGUGCCAGCAGCCGCGGUAAUACAGAGAUGGCAACCGUUGUUCGGAAUUACUGGGCUUAAAGCGCACGUAGGCGGAUUGUUAAGUCGGCUGUGAAAGACCACGUAUCAUCCGUGGGGGGUCAGCCGAUACUGGCAGUCUUGAGGCCGGUAGGGGAGAGUGGAAUUCCUGGUGGAGCGGUAAAAUGCGUUGAUAUCAGGAGGAACGUCGGAGGCGAAGGCGAGUCUCUGGGCCGGUCCUGACGCUGAGGUGCGAAAGCCAGGGGAGCAAACGGGAUUAGAUACCCCGGUAGUCCUGGCUGUAAACGAUGGGUACUAAGUAGAGGAGCUUAUGUUUCUCUGCCGGAGCAAAAGUGUUAAGUACCCCGCCUGGGGAGUAUGGUCGCAAGGCUGAAACUCAAAGGAAUUGACGGGGGCUCGCACAAGCGGUGGAGCAUGUGGUUUAAUUCGAAUCAACGCGCAGAACCUUACCUGGGUUGAACUACGUGGGAUUAACCGCCUGAAAGGGUGGCCACGCUCUUCGGAGUGGAACCACGAUAGGUGUUGCAUGGCUGUCGUCAGCUCGUGCCGUGAGGUGUUGGGUUAAGUCCCCUAACGAGCGAAACCUUUGUCCUUAGUUGCCAGCGGUUAGGCCGGGGACUCUAAGGAGACUGCAGACGUGAAGUCUGAGGAAGGUGGAGAUGACGUCAAGUCAUCAUGGCCCUUAUGCCCAGGGCUACACACGUGCUACAAUGGUUGGUACAAAGGGAAGCGAGACCGCGAGGUGGAGCAAAUCCCAAAAAGCCAAUCCCAGUUCGGAUUGAUGGCUGCAAUUCGCCAUCAUGAAGCCGGAAUCGCUAGUAAUCGUGGGUCAGCUACACCACGGUGAAUGUGUUCCCGAGCCUUGUACACACCGCCCGUCAAGCCACCGAAGCAGGGAGGUCCCGAAGUCGCUGACCCAACCUUUCGGGGAGGGAGGCGCCGAAGGAUUUCUUUGUGACGGGGACUAAGUCGUAACAAGGUA